CGUGUAGGUGGUCGGGUAAGUCAGAUGUGAAAGCCUUCUGCUUAACAGAAGAAGUGCAUUUGAAACUGCUCGGCUAGAGUACGGGAGAGGAGAGUGGAAUUCCCGGUGUAGAGGUGAAAUUCGUAGAUAUCGGGAGGAACACCAGUGGCGAAGGCGGCUCUCUGGUCCGAUACUGACGCUGAGACGCGAAAGCGUGGGGAGCAAACAGGAUUAGAUACCCUGGUAGUCCACGCCGUAAACGAUGGGCACUAGGUGUAGGAGGUAUUGACCCCUUCUGUGCCGAAGCUAACGCAUUAAGUGCCCCGCCUGGGGAGUACGGCCGCAAGGCUAAA
rnacentral:rRNA from 1 species